ACGUACAGAUAGUAGAAAUAGUCUGUGGGUUCAUGUCCUGAUACUUGGUGCAGGUGCUACCCUUUGCUCAUAACCAGCUGGGGCUUUCUGCAUGGCAAACUUUCUUUUCUUCAAGAAACCACCUUGCUGGUAAGGUUUCUCCACUGGACAGUCAAAUUGUUCUAGGGCUAUACAGUGGGACAUUAUUCACAACUAUCUAUGUCACAAGGUUUAUACAGCUCUACUU
rnacentral:lncRNA from 1 species